ACACGUGAAACCCUGUGGGAAGCAGGAGGGACCACCCUCCAAGGCUAAAUACUACCUAGUGACCGAUAGCGUAUAGUACCGUGAGGGAAAGGUGAAAAGAACCCCGGGAGGGGAGUGAAAUAGAACCUGAAACCCUGCACUUACAAGCUGUGGAAGCACAUUUCUUGUGUGACCGCGUACUUUUUGUAGAACGGGCCAACGAGUUACGUUAAGUAGCAAGGUUAAGCACUUAAGGUGUGGAGCCGUAGCGAAAGCGAGUUUUAACUGAGCGUUCAGUUACUUGACGUAGACCCGAAACCGGGCGACCUACCCAUGAGCAGGAUGAAGCGAAAGUAAAAUUUCGUGGAGGUCCGAACCCACGAGCGUUGAAAAGCUCGGGGAUGACUUGUGGGUAGCGGUGAAAUUCCAAUCGAGCCCGGAGAUAGCUGGUUCUCCCCGAAAUAGCUUUAGGGCUAGCCUCAAGGUGAGAGAUACGGAGGUAGAGCACUGAAUGUCCUAGGGGGUAUUGCACCUACCGAAGACUAUCAAACUCCGAAUGCCGUCAUCUUAUACUUGGGAGUCAGACUGUGGGUGAUAAGAUUCAUAGUCGAAAGGGCAACAGCCCAGAUCGUCAGCUAAGGUCCCUAAAUGUAAGUUAAGUGGUAAAGGAUGUGGGAUUGCACAGACAACCAGGAUGUUGGCUUAGAAGCAGCCACUCAUUCAAAGAGUGCGUAAUAGCUCACUGGUCGAGUGAUCCUGCGCCGAAGAUUUCCGGGGCUAAAACUUACUACCGAAGCUACGGCAUCAGUAAUGAUGGGUAGGGGAGCUUCCCAUACGGGUUGAAGCAUGACCGUAAGGACAUGUGGACAGUAUGGGAGUGAGAAUGUUGGCAUGAGUAGCGAGAUGUGGGUGAGAAUCCCACAGGCCGUAAACCCAAGGUUUCCAGGGGAAGGUUCGUCCGCCCUGGGUUAGUCGGGACCUAAGCUGAGGCCGAAAGGCGUAGGUGAUGGACAACAGGUUGAUAUUCCUGUACUACCGAUAACCGUUUGAGAGAAGGGAUGACACAGUAGGAUAAGCUAAGCACACUGUUGGUUAUGUGUGCCCAAGCAUUGAGGCAGUCAAAGUAGGCAAAUCCGCUUUGAUAAUGCUGGGAUGUGAUGGGGAGCGAAAUUUAGUAGCGAAGUAGCUGAUUUCACACUGUCAAGAAAAGUCUCUAUCGAGGUUAAAGGUACCCGUACCGCAAACCGACACAGGUGGGUGAGGAGAGUAUCCUAAGGCCAGCGAGAGAACUGUUGUUAAGGAACUCGGCAAAAUGACCCCGUAACUUAGGGAUAAGGGGUGCCACCAUCAGGUGGCCGCAGAGAAUAGGCCCAAGCGACUGUUUACCAAAAACAUAGGUUUCUGCUAAGUCGCAAGACGAUGUAUAGGAGCUGACGCCUGCCCGGUGCUGGAAGGUUAAGGGGAUCUGUUAGAGCAAUCGAAGCAGUGAACUUAAGCCCCAGUAAACGGCGGCCGUAACUAUAACGGUCCUAAGGUAGCGAAAUUCCUUGUCGGGUAAGUUCCGACCCGCACGAAAGGCGUAACGAUUUGGGCACUGUCUCAACAACAGACUCGGUGAAAUUGUAAUUCCGGUGAAGAUGCCGGAUACCUGCGACAGGACGGAAAGACCCCAUGGAGCUUUACUGUAGCUUGACAUUGGGUCUUGGUACUACAUGUACAGGAUAGGUGGGAGGCUUUGAAACCAGGACGCCAGUUUUGGCGGAGCCAUCCUUGGGAUACCACCCUUGUAGUACUGGGACUCUAACCAUAGGCCAUGAAUCUGGUCUUGGGACACUGUCAGGUGGGCAGUUUGACUGGGGCGGUCGCCUCCCAAAAGGUAACGGAGGCGCUCAAAGGUUCUCUCAGUACGGUCGGAAAUCGUACGUAGAGUGUAAAGGCAAAAGAGAGCUUGAUUGCAAGACAUACAGGUCGAGCAAGGAUGAAAAUCGGACUUAGUGAUCCGGUGGUUCUGCGUGGAAGGGCCAUCGCUCAACGGAUAAAAGCUACCCUGGGGAUAACAGGCUUAUCUCCCCCAAGAGUCCACAUCGACGGGGAGGUUUGGCACCUCGAUGUCGGCUCAUCACAUCCUGGGGCUGUAGUAGGUCCCAAGGGUUGGGCUGUUCGCCCAUUAAAGUGGUACGCGAGCUGGGUUCAGAACGUCGUGAGACAGUUCGGUCCCUAUCCGUCGCAGGCGUAGGAAAUUUGAGAAGACCUGUCCUUAGUACGAGAGGACCGGGAUGGACGUACCUCUGGUGUACCAGUUGUUCUGCCAAGGGCAUGGCUGGGUAGCUAUGUACGGAAUGGAUAAGCGCUGAAAGCAUCUAAGCGCGAAGCCAACU
rnacentral:rRNA from 1 species